rnacentral:tRNA from 1 species
GGGAAUGUAGCUCAGUGGUAGAGUGUUUGCCUCACAUGCAGAAGGCCCUAAGUUCAAUUCCCA